UGCGAAUUGCUCAUUACAACAGCCAUUGUUUCUUGGAUCUUACUUUUUACUUGGAUAACUGUGGUAAUUCUAGAGCUAAUACACGCAUACAAGUUCCGACGCGAGAAGGAACGCAUUUAUUAGAACUAAACCAAUCGGGCUUGCCCGUUGUUUGGUGAAUCUGAAUAACUCCGCAGAUCGCACGGUCUAGCACCGGCGACAUAUCUUUCAAGUGUCUGCCUUAUCAACUUUCGAUGGUAGUUUAUGUGACUACCAUGGUUGUAACGGGUAACGGAGAAUUAGGGUUUGACUCCGGAGAGGGAGCCUGAGAAACGGCUACCACAUCCAAGGAAGGCAGCAGGCGCGCAAAUUACCCACUCUCGGCAUGAGGAGGUAGUGACGAAAAAUAACGAGACAGUUCUCUUUGAGGUCUGUCAUCGGAAUGGGUACAACCCAAACCCUUUAACGAGGGUCUAUUGGAGGGCAAGUCUGGUGCCAGCAGCCGCGGUAAUUCCAGCUCCAAUAGCGUAUAUUAAAGUCGUUGCGGUUAAAAAGCUCGUAGUUGGAUCUCUGGUCUUGUCGGCUGGUCUCCCUCAGGGUAGUACUGGUCGGCGGACCCGAACUGCUAGUUUUCCAUGCGUGCUCUUUAUUGGGUGCGUAUGGUGGCUAGCGCGUUUACUUUGAAAAAAUUAGAGUGCUCAAAGCAGGCUUUUGCCUGAAUAGUGGUGCAUGGAAUAAUGGAAUAGGACGUCUGUUCUAUUUGUUGGUUCAGAAUUUGACGUAAUGAUUAAGAGGGACAGACGGGGGCAUUCGUAUUGCUACGUUAGAGGUGAAAUUCUUGGAUCGUAGCACGACGAACAACUGCGAAAGCAUUUGCCAAGAAUGUUUUCAUUAAUCAAGAACGAAAGUUAGAGGUUCGAAGGCGAUCAGAUACCGCCC
rnacentral:rRNA from 1 species